CAUGCAAGUCGAACGGAAAUCUUUUAGAUUUUAGUGGCGAACGGGUGAGUAACACGUAAGCAACCUGCCUUUAAGACGAGAAUAACAAUUGGAAACAGUUGCUAAGGCUGGAUAGGAAAUAAAAAGGCAUCUUUUUAUUUUUAAAAGACCUUUUUCGGAAGGUAUGCUUAAAGAGGGGCUUGCGUCACAUUAGUUAGUUGGUAGGGUAAAGGCCUACCAAGACGAUGAUGUGUAGCUGGACUGAGAGGUUGAACAGCCACAUUGGGACUGAGACACGGCCCAAACUCCUACGGGAGGCAGCAGUAGGGAAUUUUCGGCAAUGGAGGAAACUCUGACCGAGCAACGCCGCGUGAACGACGAAGUACUUCGGUAUGUAAAGUUCUUUUAUUGAAGAAGAAACAAUAGUGGAAAAACUAUCUUGACGUUAUUCAAUGAAUAAGCCCCGGCUAACUAUGUGCCAGCAGCCGCGGUAAUACAUAGGGGGCGAGCGUUAUCCGGAAUUAUUGGGCGUAAAGGGUGCGUAGGCGGUUUAAUAAGUCUCUAGUUUAAUUUCAACGCUUAACGUUGUCCUGCUAGAGAAACUGUUUAACUAGAGUGAGAUAGAGGUAAGCGGAAUUCCAUGUGUAGCGGUAAAAUGUGUAAAUAUAUGGAGGAACACCAGAGGCGUAGGCGGCUUACUGGGUCUUUACUGACGCUGAUGCACGAAAGCGUGGGGAGCAAACAGGAUUAGAUACCCCUGGUAGUCCACGCCGUAAACUAUGAGUACUAAGUGUCGGGGUUAAACUCGGUACUGAAGUUAACACAUUAAGUACUCCGCCUGAGUAGUACGUACGCAAGUAUGAAACUUAAAGGGAUUUGACGGGAUCCCGCACAAGCGGUGGAUCAUGUUGUUUAAUUCGAAGAUACACGAAAAACCUUACCAGGUCUUGACAUACUCUGCAAAGCUAUAGAAAUAUAGUGGAGGUUAUCAGGGAUACAGGUGGUGCAUGGUUGUCGUCAGCUCGUGUCGUGAGAUGUUAGGUUAAGUUCUAAAACGAGCGCAACCCCUGUCGUUAAUUGCCAGCACGUUAUGGUGGGGACUUUAGCGAGACUGCCAAUGAAAAAUUGGAGGAAGGUGGGGAUUACGUCAAAUCAUCAUGCCCCUUAUGAUCUGGGCUACAAACGUGAUACAAUGGCUAUUACAAAGAGUAGCUGAAACGCGAGUUUUCGGCAAAUCUCAAAAAAAUAGUCUCAGUUCGGAUUGAAGUCUGCAACUCGACUUCAUGAAGUUGGAAUCGCUAGUAAUCGCGAAUCAGCAUGUCGCGGUGAAUACGUUCUCGGGGUUUGUACACACCGCCCGUCAAACCACGAAAGUGGACAAUACCCGAAAGCGACAGCCUAACUGCGUAAGC
rnacentral:rRNA from 1 species